GAUGAAGAACGCAGCGAAAUGCGAUAAGUAAUGUGAAUUGCAGAAUUCAGUGAAUCAUCAAAUCUUUGAACGCACAUUGCGCCCGCCAGUAUUCUGGCGAGCAUGCCUGUUCGAGCGUCAUUUCAACCAUCAAGCCCCAGGCUUGUGUUGGAGCCCUGCGGCUGCCGCAGCCUCCCAAAACCAGUGGCGGGCUCGCUAUCACACCGAGUGCAGUAGUUUACUCUUCGCUCAGGGCGUGUGGCGGGUGCUAGCCGUGAAACCCCCAACUUCUCAAGGUUGACCUCGGAUCAGGUAGGAAUACCCGCUGAACUUAAGCAUAUCAAUAAGCGGAGGA
rnacentral:misc_RNA from 1 species